GUCCCUGUGGUUCAAUGGAUAAAACACCUCCCUCCGGAGGAGGAAAUGGCUGUUCGAAUCAGCCCAGGGACA
rnacentral:tRNA from 1 species